UACGUAGGGGGCAAGCGUUGUCCGGAAUUAUUGGGCGUAAAGUGUGCGCAGGCGGCCGAGCAAGUCGAGUGUGAAAGCCCCGGGCUUAACUUGGGAAUUGCGCUCGAAACUAUGGUGCUGGAGUGUGGCAGAGGAAGGUGGAAUUCCACGUGUAGCGGUGAAAUGCGUAGAGAUGUGGAGGAACACCGAUGGCGAAGGCAGCCUUCUGGGCCAACACUGACGCUCAUGCACGAAAGCGUGGGGAGCAAAAGGG
rnacentral:rRNA from 1 species